rnacentral:rRNA from 1 species
CAGAAGAAGCACCGGCUAACUCCGUGCCAGCAGCCGCGGUAAUACGGAGGGUGCGAGCGUUAAUCGGAAUUACUGGGCGUAAAGCGCAUGCAGGUGGUUUGUUAAGUCAGAUGUGAAAGCCCGGGGCUCAACCUCGGAAUUGCAUUGAAACUGGCAAACUAGAGUACUGUAGAGGGGGUAGAAUUUCAGGUGUAGCGGUGAAAAUGCGUAGAGAUCUGAAGGAAUACCGGUGGCGAAGGCGGCCCCCUGGACAGAUACUGACACUCAGAUGCGAAAGCGUGGGGAGCAAACAGGAUUAGAUACCCUGGUAG